CGAAUUCCAGGAAGACAAGAGCAGGCCAGGUGCCAAGAGCGAUCAAAAGGAAACGGCAACCAGAAAUGAGGUGGAGGAUUAAACCAGCAGCACCCGCUACCUGAAGAACGUGAACUUCAGGUGCAUGCCUGGAUUACCAAGGAUCAGGGCUUUUUUCAGCCGGAACCUUCCGGAAUUCAGUUCCGGCACCUUUCAGGUCGGCGCCGUUGUCAUUCAAGAGAACGAGGGAGGUGUUCGUGACGGGUUCCGGCGCCUCUUUUUCUAGAAAAAUAGCACUGAUUCCUGGGAAGUCACCAUGCCCCACCAGCUAGUGGAAGAGAGGACAUGCUUAGUUCAGAAAUUCUUACUGGACUGCGGGAGAUUCCCUGCAUGGAACCCUGAAGAGCUGCUUCCAGUCAGUGUAGACAACACUGGACCAAAGGUUUGACUUUUCAGUAAAACGUAGGAAGCUGCCUUAUACUUACUGAAAAGAAACAGCCCAAUCCAGUAUUGGUAUCUACUUAGAAGAAAUCCCCAUUAAGUCCUAGAUAGUGUGUUUAGCAGGCUUUGCAAGCCCAGGACCCCCAGAUGUUGUUGG